AGCACAUUUAAAAAUAUAUAUUAGAUACCAUUGACUUGCAUUGGAGUUGUGCCACAAAUGCAAAAAAGUUAGCAUUUGAAACAGUGGCCAGGUAAACAAAACCUCUGUCAGGUGGAUGGAUUAUCUUUGGAACGGAGAAAUGCUCACUAACAGGAAUCUAAACAAAUGUGUGCAAAAAUUGAGAGAAAUUAGCUUUUUGUGAUUAUGGAACAUUUCUGGGGUCGUUUUUAUUUCAGAUCAUGAAACAUGGUACCAACACUUUACAUGUUGUGUUUAUAUUUCUGUUCAGUAUACAUAAGAGAUGUUGGGUGUCAUGGCUUACAGAAAUGACAUGGAAUGACUAAGGUAAAAAGUAAUGGUUGAGGUGUGAUUCGACCACAUGCCAGACAUUAGCUAUGUGCUUGUAAGAUUGCAUCGCCACACUCCCGCACACAACUAUUACUUUAAAAAGGAGAUGAUCCAAACAGGGAAUGGUAAACCACUUAACUUGAAUGGAGUAACCUCAAGCAACAGAACUAUUAUGAGACUUCCCUCGUGUGCAUUAAUUUUACCUGCAAACUGUACUCAUGUUGGACUCAUUACACCAUGAGUAUGAAAUAUUUAUAGAGAAGUUGAGUGAAACUGAGUUGUCCAUCUAUCCACCCCCACCUGCAGGAGCUGAGCUUUGGGCACCAACAGGAGCAAGUCGUCCAUGUCCCCCUCUCCUUCCUCCUCAUCCUUGUCCUGCUCCUCCGUCAAUGUCUCCAGCUCAUCCAGAGACUUGGAAAUGCCAGUGGGGGCACUUCUCCGGCUACUAUGUAACCAGACUGUACUUCAUAUGAAAACUCCCGAACUAACAGAUGGAUAUUUGGAACGCAACUGUGUCCGGAAGAGCCGACGUGUCCAUGAGUGCUCGCUUUGACCUAUCAUACCCUGUAGCUGAUUUAUCAGUAGAUAAUGUUUUUGCGAAUUCUGUUACUUGUAUACAUCUUUCAACAACCACAGUAAUGUAAUGUAAUAAAAUGAUAUGUUGUAAACAGUGAUAGGUCUCUGCUGACUCAUAAUAGUAGGAGGUUGAGGACACUUGUGUUGUAGAUGUUUGGAGGCGUCAACUUACAAGUGUCAUUCCCUUAGAAAUGUGUAUUUGAGUUCAGGAAAGGUAGACAAUGUUCAGCCAAUGUAGUUAUUUAUAUGACGGACACUUUGUAACAUAUUCCUUGUCUAGUUGUCAUGUUUUAUUUUAAUCAUAUUUUUACUUGAAAUCAAGUCUCAAGUUAUGUGAUUUGUUUGAGGUUUUGUUGGAGAAUACGAGUUGAGUUUAUUGAAGUAUUCACUACAAGUAAUGUC
rnacentral:lncRNA from 1 species